rnacentral:lncRNA from 1 species
CCACUGCCUCUCAGGCCCCCUCACCCCUGACCAAGACCUAGACCAGGGGGACAGGAGUACCCACUGCCUCUCAGGCCCCCUCACCCCUGACCAAGACCUAGACCAGGGGGACAGGAGUACCCACUGCCUCUCAGGCCCCCUCACCCCUGACCAAGACCUAGACCAGGGGGACAGGAGUACCCACUGCCUCUCAGGCCCCCUCACCCCUGACCAAGACCUAGACCAGGGGGACAGGAGUACCCACUGCCUCUCAGGCCCCCUCACCCCUGACCAAGACCUAGACCAGGGAAACAGGAGUACCCACUGUCUCUCUGGCCCCCUCACCCCUGACCAAAAUCUGGUCAGGGCUACCCUCUCUCUCUCCCUCUCUGACGAGCUCAGUAGUGAGGAAGCCAUAUGCCAGAGCACCAUCUCACAUUGUAAGUAGAGCAUCAAUGGGGUGCUAAAUCCUCUGUAAACUCAGCAAAACUUAAGUGUGGAAAUAUGUUUGUUUUUUCAUUCACAUUUGCUGUGCCAAGCAGUUGGAGGGGAUCAACGGUUUAGUUGUCUAGUGGAAAGAGGAAAUGGGCACAUUGUGGCAUUUAAUGCUUUGGUGGUGAGGUGGGGAGCCAAGCUGUAUCUUCAGCUCUGAAAUACGGCAACAUCUUUUCACUGUCAUUUCAGAUGGAGAGGAGGAUGAGGACAGUGUCCAUAGAUUUAGAAGGAGAUGUGAGGAGGAGAGAGAUGAAGAAGAGGAGGAAGAGUGUAAGGAGGAAGAGGAUCAGUAUGAUAUUCUACCAGCCCCCCGGAACUCUGAGUAUCACAUCAACCAAUCAGAUGAAGACUUGACUGAUGGAGAGGACCUCUAUGACUUCCCACUGUCCAAUAGCAGGGCAAGUGACCGCCAAGAUUAUAGCGAGAUGACAGAGAGCAUCUAUGACGUCCCCAGUUCCCUAAUGAGGAAAAUGUCUGAACACACACUUGAGCCUUACCCUGGAGGUGAGAUACUGGUGGAGGACAGGGGCCUCCUGGAUGACAUGAUGGCCGGUCUGGGUGGAGGGACGGUGGGCUGGAUAACAGAUGAAAUCUCGCGUCUUGUGACGGCCG